GAAACCUUAUCAGCUGCCACAGAGAGGGAAGAUGCAGAGAGGCCUGCUGAAAGCCAUGCUGGAAAUUACAAUGGGGAAGAAGGUCCAUCAACCUCCACAGCACAGCUUACCUCACUCCCUGUGAAACAACUUUACAAGGUAUAUUUAGAAUCUCAAAUAAACAAAUCACACCUAGAAAUGGAGCACAUAAGGCUGCAGAUCACCAAAACAGAAAAGGAAAUACAACUGCUGGACCAUCAGUUAAAGGUGGGUGACGUGCCCACAGGUGGAUGUUUUUUAAUUGUUUCAACAACAAAGGAUUAACAACUGUACAAAAUUUGUCCUUCUAGGAAAUA